CCCUCCGCCACUGUUAUUUCUGCUACUUCCGCGAUUUCUGCGACUUCUGCUACUUCUGCGACGUACUACCGUAUGAAAAAGUUACAUCUGUCCACACAGAAAAUUGCAUCUCAACAAACCUGUCAUUGGUACCUGAACUACAUUUCAGUCACUCAGUAAAGUGAUAAUUCAAAAUAUCAUUGUCAACAGAGCUGAAGAAAUUGCCAGUCUUUAGACCGUUUUCGUCAGACGAGAGACGCGGUUCUGACUGAUUACUGGUUGCUGUACAUAUCUAUCCACAUCAAGGCUGUUGAGAGAGACUCGUGAAGAUUCAAGACAGCUCUUAGAGGAUUUGCAGUUUAAAAGUGAAAUAAUUAUGAAAUAAGUGUGUGACUGAUUAAAGUGUUUUAUUGAAGUUGUUGUGCGAUUUAAAGGAAUAAUAAAUGUUAAAUACAUUGA